UAAUGGAACCAAAGAUAACGCGAAAUAA
rnacentral:sRNA from 1 species